AUGAACGCUGGCGGUCUGCUUAACACAUGCAAGUCGAACGGACUCUUCGGAGUUAGUGGCGGACGGGUGAGUAACGCGUGAGAAUCUGCCUCUAGAACGGGGACAACAGAGGGAAACUUCUGCUAAUCCCGGAUGAGCCGAAAGGUCAAAGAUUUAUCGUCUAGAGAUGAGCUCGCGUCUGAUUAGCUAGUUGGUAAGGUAAAAGCUUACCAAGGCGACGAUCAGUAGCUGGUCUGAGAGGAUGAUCAGCCACACUGGGACUGAGACACGGCCCAGACUCCUACGGGAGGCAGCAGUGGGGAAUUUUCCGCAAUGGGCGAAAGCCUGACGGAGCAAGACCGCGUGGGGGAGGAAAGCCUUUGGGUUGUAAACCCCUUUUCUCAGGGAAGAAGAAAGUGACGGUACCUGAGGAAUCAGCCUCGGCUAACUCCGUGCCAGCAGCCGCGGUAAUACGGAGGAGGCAAGCGUUAUCCGGAAUGAUUGGGCGUAAAGCGUUCGUAGGUGGCAAUUCAAGUCUGCUGUCAAAGACAGUAGCUCAACUACUGCAAGGCAGUGGAAACUGAAUAGCUAGAGUGCGGUAGGGGCAGAGGGAAUUCCCGGUGUAGCGGUGAAAUGCGUAGAGAUCGGGAAGAACACCGGUGGCGAAAGCGCUCUGCUGGGCCGCAACUGAUACUGAGGGACGAAAGCUAGGGGAGCGAAUGGGAUUAGAUACCCCCAGUAGUCCUAGCUGUAAACGAUGGAAACUAGGUGUUGCCUGUAUCGACCCAGGCAGUGCCGUAGCUAACGCGUUAAGUUUCCCGCCUGGGGAGUACGCACGCAAGUGUGAAACUCAAAGGAAUUGACGGGGGCCCGCACAAGCGGUGGAGUAUGUGGUUUAAUUCGAUGCAACGCGAAGAACCUUACCAGGGCUUGACAUGUCCGGAAUUCUGGGGAAACUCGGAAGUGCCUUCGGGAACCGGAACACAGGUGGUGCAUGGCUGUCGUCAGCUCGUGUCGUGAGAUGUUGGGUUAAGUCCCGCAACGAGCGCAACCCUCGUUUUUAGUUGCCAGCAUUAAGUUGGGCACUCUAGGGAGACUGCCGGUGACAAACCGGAGGAAGGUGGGGAUGACGUCAAGUCAGCAUGCCCCUUACGCCCUGGGCUACACACGUACUACAAUGGUUGAGACAAAGGGCAGCAACUCCGCAAGGACAAGCGAAUCUCAUCAAACUCGGCCUCAGUUCAGAUUGCCGGCUGCAACUCGCCGGCAUGAAGGAGGAAUCGCUAGUAAUCGCAGGUCAGCAUACUGCGGUGAAUCCGUUCCCGGGCCUUGCACUCACCGCC
rnacentral:rRNA from 1 species